UAAAUACUCCAUCCGUCCUAAAAUUCUUGUUUUAUUUUUGUCUAGGUAUGAAUGUAUCUAGUCACGUUUUAGUAUUUCGAUACAUCCAUUUCUAGACAAAUCUAAAACAAGAAUUUUAAGACGGAGGAAGUAUAAG
rfam:Hordeum vulgare subsp. vulgare, WGS project CAJW01000000 data, contig: morex_contig_1825546